AUGUCACCUCUGCGAUGCUGGAAUGUGCUGUCUUGGAACAUCAGAGGUCUGAAUUCGGAGAAGAAGCAGUGUGCCCUCUCUAAUGCCAUCAACACUAGUGGUUGUGCGGUGGUUUGCUUGCAGGAAACCAAAAUGCUUGAAGUUUCUUUUGCGUUCCUUAAAACUUGUUUCCCUAGACAAUUCGAUUGCUUUGCUUUUGUUCCUUCCCGCGGAUCAUCUGGUGGUAUUCUUACGGUUUGGAAAAGCGCUUUAUUUCGGGUACGGUUGUGUUUUCUGGCAUCUUUUCUCUAG
rnacentral:rRNA from 1 species